UACGUAGGGGGCAAGCGUUAUCCGGAUUUACUGGGUGUAAAGGGAGCGCAGACGGAACUGCAAGUCUGAUGUGAAAGCCCGGGGCUCAACCGCGGGACUGCAUCGGAUACUGUGGAUCUGGAGUGCCGGAGGGGCAAGCGGAAUUCCUGGUGUAGCGGUGAAAUGCGUAGAUAUCAGGAGGAACACCGGCGGCGAAGGCGGCUUCCUGGUCUGUAACUGACAAUGAGGCGCGAAAGCGUGGGGAGCAAACAGGAUUAGAUACCCU
rnacentral:rRNA from 1 species